rnacentral:sRNA from 1 species
AAAUUUUUGAAAGGAGGUGAUCCAGUGCAUCAUGAGGUAUUGGAGAAGUGUGUCGGGACAACUUGUGGGGGUCGCAGCUAGGGCAGCCCUUGGCUGAGAAGAUCACAAGGUGGAGAUCCUAACCGACCCACCUCCGAAAAUCAGAGAAGGGCUAUCCCAACGCCGGGGUAGCCCU